rnacentral:rRNA from 1 species
AAUGAACGUUGGCGGCAUGGAUUAGGCAUGCAAGUCGAGCGAGAAGUGUAGCAAUACACGGAAAGCGGCGGAAGGGAGAGUAAUACGUGGGAAUCUGCCCUUAGACCUGGGAUAGCAGCGGGAAACUGCUGGAAAUACCAGAUAAUGUCUAUGGACCAAAGGUGUGAUUCCGUCUAGGGAUGAGCCCACGGCCUAGUAGCUAGUUGGUAGGGUAAUGGCCUACCAAGGCGAUGAUGGGUAGCGGGUGUGGGAGCAUGACCCGCCUCACUGGGACUGCGGCACUGCCCAGACACCUACGGGUGGCUGCAGUCGAGAAUCUUCGGCAAUGGGCGCAAGCCUGACCGAGCGAUGCCGCGUGCGGGAUGAAGGCCUUCGGGUUGUAAACCGCUGUCGAGGGGGAGCAACUUCCAUAGAGUUAUCUUUAUGGAUUGAGUGAUCCCUGGAGGAAGGACGGGCUAAGUUCGUGCCAGCAGCCGCCGUAACAC